rnacentral:lncRNA from 1 species
GUUAGUUGACAAGUUUUGUUAUGGGUUCAUGUGUAAUGGGACAUCCCUAUGGACCCUAGGGAUACCAGUAAGCAAAUAAAAAGAGAAAGUUGUUGUUCUGGUUAAUUUAAUAUGAGAUUAUGAUGUUGUUUGUGUUAUUACCUCUAUAAGUCAGUUUGGAAAUCUCGCUACAGUAAGUAUGCAAUAAAUGAUUUUAUUUAUGAUAAAUGAAUUUACUUAAUUUAAGAGCUCCAUUAGUUGUUUUUAUGAUUUUUACCAACCUUCAUUUCUAUAU